rnacentral:lncRNA from 1 species
AUGCUUGACACUGGGUCUAUGGCCUGUACAUUAAGUGAACAUGCGGAGCAGAGACUUUUGGAAGCAGGUGCCCUUCCUCAGCAUUAUCAGCCUCCCACAGAGUUAGUAUUAGUGGGGUGUGGGGGGAAGAAGACCUCAACAAAGUGUUUCUAUGAUUUGGAGAUGCAAAUCUAUGGGAUUGAUGUUAAAGUGCCCACUCUAGUUGUUCCUGGACAGCGUGAUGAUCUCAUCCUGGGAUCGAAUGUCAUUAAGCAUCUAUUGCGUGAGAUGAAAGGCACUGACGAAUACUGGAAGCUCGUCAACAACAUGGAUGGCCAGACCCACUCACCAGAGGGUGAGCAGUUUCUGCAGAUGAUGACAAGUGUCACAAGAUGGAAGGGACAGCAAGUCGAUGGCAAGAUUGGGACAGUGAAGCUCACUCAAGCUGUGACUCUUUCGCCCAAGACUGAACACUUAGUUUGGGGUAAACUUCCUAAAAAUGUGGCAUUGUCUCCAGGCAGCACUGUAAUAGUCGAACCUACCAGGUCAAAGGUCAUGCCCAGAAACAUACUCGUGGGUAGAGUUAUUACACCCAUGUGGGGAGAUGGCUGGGUCCCUUUAAAGGUAGUAAACUGUUCUGACAAAAAUCUCACCCUAAGACGUAACAUGAAGUUGGCAGAUGUGUCUACAUGCUUGGCUGUUGAGGAUGCAACAAUCUUUCAGGGCCUUCAUGAAGUGAGGAAAACCCCAAUGGAACAGAAGCAGGAUGACAAUGGCUGCCACAAUCUGAAACAAAGACUGUCUGAUCUAGGAUUAGUAGACAUUGACAUUGAUGGAUGCCAGGUAGCUGACCAGUGGAAGAAAAAGCUUGUGAAUACCAUCACAAAAUAUGAAGACAUCUUCUCAAGACAUAAUCUGGACUGCGGAGAAGCCAGGGGUUAUGUUCACCGUAUCCACCUGGUUGAUGACAGACCCUUCCGGCUACCAUACAGAAGAGUUCCGCCUGCUCAUUACCUGAAGCUGAGGAAGGUAUUGACAGAUAUGGAAGAAGUAGGUCUUAUACGCAAGUCAGUUAGUGAGUAUGCCUCCCCUUUAGUCAUGGUAUGGAAGAAAGACGGGAGUCUGAGGUUAUGCACUGACUUCAGGUGGAUGAAUGCACGAACGGUGAAGGACGCUCAUCCCCUUCCUCAUCAAGCAGAUUGCCUCGCAGCCCUUGGUGGCAGUGCAUUUUUCAGCACCAUGGACUUGACCUCAGGAUUUUAUAACAUUCCAGUUCACGAAGAGGACAAGAAGUACACAGCCUUUACCACACCGAUGGGACUUUAUGAGUACAAUCGCAUGCCACAAGGUCUGUGUAACAGCCCGGCCUCUUUCAUGAGAAUGAUGUUGAGUAUAUUUGGGGACCUGAACUUCUCAAAUCUCCUUUGUUACUUAGAUGACUUGUUGGUCUUUGCACCCACCGAGGAACAGGCUCUACAGCGACUUGAAGUUGUGUUUAGCCGUCUAAGAGCCAACAAUCUCAAGCUAGCACCCAAAAAAUGCCACUUUCUACGAAGAACAGUGAAAUUCCUCUGA